GUUAUUUUCUUAUUUUAAUAACCGUAGUAAUUCCGGCUGUUUGGAGGCCGCAAGCAACCAGAGGAGGAGGAAGUUUUUUUUUGGGGGAAUUCAGCGCAUCGCAAACUUUGUCGGCAAUUUCGACGGGAUUUUCAUUGUCAUGGAUUGUGCUACCUAUAUCCUACAAAUCUACAACAUGAAAGACAUCAGGUGCGUAAUGCCCUGAUCCUGAAUAUUCUUAUCUGCUUAAAUACACAUGCAUAGGCAACGGUGUGGAAUUGAUGUUGAACAAAUUUGAUAACUGGUCAACGCGAAUGGAUAACCAUGUGUCGCGAUUUGAACUUAAUAAAAUACAGUAUACGGUACAAACCAUGUGUUACAAUUGCAUUAUGGAAUGGAACCUCCCCAUAUCGUUCCUUCGGAAUCCCUGAGAACCCUCGAAGCACCGGAUCGGAUUGAUAAGACCGCAACCGCAUUUAUGAAACUGAUACGUUUAAUUCCGACAAGGUUCUGAACUUCUGGAUGUGCGUUAGAAACGGUGUCCUUUUGGGAAUUGCCAAAAAGUCUUAACGGAUUCGCCUAGUAUACGGUGAGCCAUACGAAGAAUCUUGUGCUCUGCGACAACAAUGGACCCAUCCCUUUCCAAUGCGAAGGCUUCACUUUGGACAAUGAGACAUUCGUCAUGAUGACGAGGACAAAAUUCGCCUUCCUUUCGUGUUGGUGAUCUGAUUUUGCAAAUCAAUGAAAAGGCGCGUAUUACAAACAAGCCUUUAGGAGAUUUCCAUUACCGAGGCCCUCGUCUAAAAAGUCGUCUUACUGAAAAGCACCACCGAAAGAACGUUGAAAAUUCAGUAGAUACACAAGAUCGGAUCUGACAUGGAAACGGGGCACUUUCUUGAUUCUCUAACGCACCCACACAAGAAUUCAUGCGUUUGAAAUUAAUAUUGACUUACAGUAGCUUAUGCAGUGCUUCGUUUACAAAGAAACUGGGUAUAGAAAUCCAAAGAAUUUGUUCUUCAAUGUAAUAGGACUAGUGGUACUCUUAUUAUCACAUUAUUGUGUGUCGUAUAAGCGUUCACACCGGUUAAGGCUCCAUGAACAAUCUUUACUCUUCCACGCCUGUAAUGCUCGAUCGGUAGGCAACUCUCAUCUCAAACUGUAACAGAUAAACUACGGUGGAAAUGACGACUCAGGAGCACAGGAACUCAGGAAUCCCUAAGCAGGAACACUCCAAUCACAACUUCCGGUCGCAGUUUCUAUGAGGAUCAACAAAGAGCUAGGACGAUUGUGUCACGAGCAAACCUGUAUUCUAUGCAAUAAUCCGGGAACGAUCAUGUACAUCAGAAGGAACAAGUAUUGCUGUCUCUUUAUUAAUGCACUUCACAGUCCACAACGCAAGGAAAUCGUAAUUAGGAAGCAGUCUCAGAAGUAAAUCUCAGACUACUGAUCCGUGACUGCUUCCGAUUUUAGUGACAACCAAAACUUAUAUAGACUUCGCGUUAUGACAUCACAUACAUCGCUAGUAAAAGAGAACAGCAAAUCACAGUAGAGAUUGACUAGAUUAUCCGUUAUAUUGCAGGUGGAAUGCGGACAGUCAGCAUCCGUACGUACAUCCCGGCGUGUGAUCCUACUCCCACACGUCAUGUGCAUAAACGCAUUACAGGCCUACAGUCGGAAUGAACGUCGCUGACUUCCAACUUCCAAGUAGCUAUAAAAAAUACGGUCAAAAACAAAAUUGUGGUGGAAGGUUUUAUAAGACACUGAGAGCAUUCAGUAUACCAGUGAAGAAUAACAGUAUCAUGUUAUUCAUAAUUUAAUAUUGAGCUCUGAUGUUUAAGCGCUCAUCGCAGUAAAAGUAUGUUCACUUAUCUGACUAUGGUGAGUGACUAGUCUUGGCCAGAUUGUAGUUCUACUAGAACUACAAGAAAGUUAUAAAGUGGUGACGUUAAUUUAUUACUGCUAAUGUUAUGUCAUCUGAUUUGUAAAUACAGCUUUAUUACGGUUUAUGCCAUAUAGAUAAUUGAUGUUAAACGCUCACUCAGUGACUAGUUUUGCG